rnacentral:rRNA from 1 species
UAGGGAAUCUUCCGCAAUGGACGAAAGUCUGACGGAGCAACGCCGCGUGAGUGAAGAAGGAUUUCGGUUCGUAAAACUCUGUUGUUAGGGAAGAAAAAAUGUAUAGUAACUAUAUACAAAAGAGACGGUACCUAACCAGAAAGCCACGGCUAAAUACGUGCCAGCAGCCGCGGUAAUACGUAUGGGGCGAGCGUUGUCCGGAAUUAUUGGGCGUAAAGGGUACGUAGGCGGUCUAUUAAGUCAGGUGUGAAAGCGUGAGGCUUAACCUCAUUAAGCACUUGAAACUGAUAGACUUGAGUGAAGGAGAGGAAAGUGGAAUUCCUAGUGUAGCGGUGAAAUGCGUAGAUAUUAGGAGGAAUACCGGUGGCGAAGGCGACUUUCUGGACUUUUACUGACGCUCAGGUACGAAAGCGUGGGGAGCAAACAGG